UACGUAGGGUGCGAGCGUUGCCCGGAUUUAUUGGGCGUAAAGGGCGCGUAGGCGGCUCGGCACGUCCGUUGUGAAAUCGCCCGGCUCAACUGGGCGGGGUCAGCGGAUACGGUCGAGCUUGAGCAAGCUAGGGGGCAAUGGAAUUCCCGGUGUAGUGGUGGAAUGCGUAGAUAUCGGGAAGAACACCAGUGGCGAAGGCGGCUCGCUGGGCCGAUGCUGACGCUGAGGCGCGAAAGCGUGGGGAGCAAACAGG
rnacentral:rRNA from 1 species